rnacentral:rRNA from 1 species
UACAGAGGGUGCGAGCGUUGUUCGGAAUUACUGGGCGUAAAGCGCGCGCAGGCGGCCCUUUAAGUCCGUCGGUCAAAUGCCGGGGCUCAACCCCGAUGCAUGCCGAGGAUACUGGAGGGCUGGAGACACGUAGAGGCAAGCGGAAUUCCGGGUGUAGCGGUGGAAUGCGUAGAGAUCCGGAAGAACACCGGAGGCGAAGGCGGCUUGCUGGGCGUGAUAUGACGCUGAGGCGCGAAAGCGUGGGGAGCGAACAGG